rnacentral:tRNA from 2 species
AAUCUUAUAGUUUAAUAUAAAACAUUAAAUUGCAAAUUUAAUAUUGGUCCUUACCUAAGAUUU